rnacentral:rRNA from 1 species
UACGUAGGGAGCGAGCGUUAUCCGGAUUUAUUGGGUGUAAAGGGUGCGUAGACGGGAAUACAAGUUAGUUGUGAAAUACCUCGGCUUAACUGAGGAACUGCAACUAAAACUAUAUUUCUUGAGUGCAGGAGAGGUAAGUGGAAUUCCUAGUGUAGCGGUGAAAUGCGUAGAUAUUAGGAGGAACACCAGUGGCGAAGGCGACUUACUGGACUGAAACUGACGUUGAGGCACGAAAGUGUGGGGAGCAAACAGG